AAUAUUGGACAAUGGGCGCCAACCUGAUCUAGCCAUGCCGCGUGAGUGAUGAAGGCCCUAGGGUUGUAAAGCUCUUUUGUCCACGACGAUAAUGACGGUACCGCACGAAUAAGCCGCCGCUAACUUCGUGCCAUCAGCAGCGGUAAUACGAAGGGGGCUAGUGUUGUUCCGAAUCACUGGGCGUAAAGGGCGCGUAGGCGGACGUUUAAGUCAGGGGUGAAAUCCCGGGGCUCAACCCCGGAAUUGCCUUUGAUACUGGAUGUCUCGAGACCGGAAGAGGUAAGUGGAACUGCGAGUGUAGAGGUGAAAUUCGUAGAUAUUCGCAAGAACACCAGUGGCGAAGGCGGCUUACUGGUCCGGUUCUGACGCUGAGACGCGAAAGCGUGGGGAGCAAACAGG
rnacentral:rRNA from 1 species